AUGAGUACUACUGGUUUUGAUGGUCCUUCAGAAAGGCCAGCAAAAAGGAAGAGAAAGAACCAAUUCAAGGGUAUCUGUCAGCGCCCCUCGGGUAAAUGGGCUGCUGAAAUCAGAGAUCCUAGCAAGGGUGUCCGUGUCUGGCUCGGUACUUUCAACAGUGCUGAAGAAGCCGCAAGAGCUUAUGAUGUCAAAGCACGCCGGAUCCAUGGCAAGAAGGCCAAGGUUAACUUUGUAGAGGAAAUAGCAGUUCAGGAACCCAAAGCACCCAAGCCAAGCACAGGACAGGAAACUAUCGUCACACCAGCAGUCAACAACCAUGCUAACCCAAAUGCUUUCGUGUACCCAUCUCCUGACUUUGCAUCAAACCAGCCACUUAUUCAGCUUGAUAACGUGCCAUUUGUUCCUGCAAUGAACUCCGCUGUCCCUAUUGAAGCUCCUGUUAUGAAUAUGUACUAUGAACAGGGAAGCAACACUUUUGGCUGCUCUGACUUGGGCUGGGAGUAUAACAUCAAGACUCCAUAUAAAUCAUCCAUGGCUCUCAUUUCCACUAUUGUUGAAGGAGCAGAAUCUGCACUUGUCCAGGGUAACACCUACAACUCAGUGGUGAUUGCUGAAGGAGCUGAAUAUGCGCUUGUUCGGAGUAACACCUACAACUCAGUGGUGCCUCCUGUUACGGAGAAUGAUGCUAUCGAUUUCGAAGAUUGGAUGAGGUUUUGUAUGGAUGAUGGCGUCGAUGAGCCGAUUGAUAGCCUUCUGAAUUUUGAUGUGCCUCAUGAUGUCGUCGACAGCAUGGACCUUUGGAACUUUGAUGACAUGCCCAUCCGUGGCGAAUUUUUCUAA
rnacentral:rRNA from 1 species